CACCCCACUCAGAGCCACCCUCCAACACCCUUAGGGAUGUCACAAACAGACAAACUAACCUUAGAUUCAGAGUUGCACAAACUAUUAGACAAAGGGGCGAUCGAACCCUCGCCUUUCCCUAACACUUUCCUCGGCAACAUGUUCCUGGUACGGAAAAAGACGGGAGACCACCGUCCUAUUAUCAACCUCAAAGAACUGAAUCAGUUCAUCACAUAUCGAAGGUAUCCAUCUUCUCAGGGACCUACUCUGCGUGGGAGACUGGUUCUCCAGAUUCGACCUCAAGGAUGCUUACCUCACGGUCCCCAUCGCACCAAGUCAUCGUGCGUUCCUUCAAUUCCUCUGGCAUGGCGAAAUUUGGCAGUUCACCUGCCUUCCUUUCGGACUUUUUCCUCCCCUUGGUGUUUCACCAAGUUAAUGAAGCCGGUCAUGGCACUACUCCGCUCUCGGGGAAUAC